GAUCUUGGAGUCGAGAUGUGGGAAAGGACUGUUGGAGUAUUAUGAUUUAGUAAUUACUUAUAUUGUAAAUUGACACGUAAUUUGGUUGUUAAGCCUUAAGAACGUGUUUACUUUUUGCUCUAUUGUCUUUGUUUUAUUAUUUUAAAUAUAAUUUUAUAAUAGUACAUGUGUUAUUAUUUGAUUCAUCAAACGAGUUGUGCUUUAGUAUAUAAAUGAUUCAAUUUUCCAUUUAAACAAAGGAUGAUGUGUAAAGUUGCAAUUUAGUAUCACUCGAAACUACAAUGA
rnacentral:lncRNA from 1 species